rnacentral:rRNA from 1 species
UGAGGAAUAUUGGUCAAUGGUCGGAAGGCUGAACCAGCCAUCCCGCGUGCAGGAUGAAGGAGCUACGCUUUGUAAACUGCUUUUUUAGGGGAAGAAAAAAUCUUUUUUAAGAUCUUGACGGUACCCUAAGAAUAAGCACCGGCUAACUACGUGCCAGCAGCCGCGGUAAUACGUAGGGUGCAAGCGUUAUCCGGAAUUAUUGGGUUUAAAGGACGCGCAGGCGGUUUCUUAAGUCAGUGGUGAAAGUUUGCGGCUCAACCGUAAAAUUGCCAUUGAUACUGGGAUGACUAGAGAUCGUUCGACGUGGAUGGAAUGUGUGGUGUAGCGGUGAAAUGCGUAGAUAUCACACGGAACACCAAUUGCGAAGGCAGUUCACGAGGAUAGAUCUGACGCUCAGGCGUGAAGGCAUGGGGAGCAAACAGG